rnacentral:rRNA from 1 species
AACGUAGGACACAAGCGUUAUCCGGAGUUACUGGGCGUAAAGGGCGCGCAGGCGGCUUGGCAAGUCGAGUGUGAAAUACCUCAGCUUAACUGAGGAACGGCGCUCGAAACUACCUCGCUUGAGGGCGGGAGAGGGAAGUGGAACUCUCGGUGUAGGGGUGAAAUCUGUAGAUAUCGAGAGGAACACCGGUGGCGAAGGCGGCUUCCUGGCCCGUACCUGACGCUGAGGCGCGAAAGCGUGGGGAGCAAACAGG